rnacentral:rRNA from 1 species
AGCCUGAACGCUGGCGGCGUGGUUAAGACAUGCAAGUCGUACGGUGUAGCAAUACACAGUGGCGAACGGGUGAGUAAUGAAUCGCUAAUGUACCCCGGACUCUGGGAUAGCUGCCCGAAAGGGCAGGUAAUACCAGAUGAUAUAUCCCUUCCGCAUGGUUGGGAUCUCAAAGGUCCGCCGGUCUGGGAGCAGGCGAUUUUGUAUCAGCUAGUUGGUGAGGUAACGGCUCACCAAGGCGAUGACGCAUAGCCGGACUGAGAGGUUGGCCGGCCACAUUGGGACUGAGACACUGCCCAGACUCCUACGGGGGGCUGCAGUAACGAAUCUUCCGCAAUGCACGAAAGUGUGACGGAGCGACGCCGCGUGUGGGACGAAGCCCUUCGGGGUGUAAACCACUGUCAGAGGAUAGAAAGUUCUGAUCAUCCUCAGAGGAAGGCACGGCUAACUCUGCGCCAGCAGCCGC